rnacentral:rRNA from 1 species
UACAGAGGUCCCAAGCGUUGUUCGGAUUCACUGGGCGUAAAGGGUGCGUAGGUGGUGGGGUAAGUCUGAUGUGAAAUCUCCGAGCUCAACUCGGAAAUGGCAUUGGAAACUACCUUGCUAGAGGAUUGGAGAGGUGACUGGAAUUCUUGGUGUAGCAGUGAAAUGCGUAGAUAUCAAGAGGAACACCAGUGGCGAAAGCGAGUCUCUGGACAAUUCCUGACACUGAGGCACGAAAGCUAGGGGAGCAAACAGG